rnacentral:rRNA from 1 species
AACGAACGCUGGCGGCAUGCCUAACACAUGCAAGUCGAACGAGACCUUCGGGUCUAGUGGCGCACGGGUGCGUAACGCGUGGGAACCUGACUUUAGGUUCGGAAUAACUCAGAGAAAUUUGAGCUAAUACCGGAUGAUGUCUUCGGACCAAAGAUUUAUCGCCUUUAGAUGGGCCCGCGUUGGAUUAGCUAGUUGGUGGGGUAAAGGCCUACCAAGGCGACGAUCCAUAGCUGGUCUGAGAGGAUGAUCAGCCACACUGGGACUGAGACACGGCCCAGACUCCUACGGGAGGCAGCAGUGGGGAAUAUUGGACAAUGGGCGAAAGCCUGAUCCAGCAAUGCCGCGUGAGUGAUGAAGGCCUUAGGGUUGUAAAGCUCUUUUACCCGAGAUGAUAAUGACAGUAGCGGGAGAAUAAGCUCCGGCUAACUCCGUG